GAAAGGGCAAGAGCAAGUGGCCAUCCAACAGACUAACCUAAUUGAUAAGGCAGGAAUCAGCCAUGGGUUUUUCCCAGACAUUCCUUGAUCCUAAAAGGUAUGGAUUUGAGACAUGUAGCUGUCCCCCCAGAACUAAAGUGAGUACAUCACUGACAAGUGAGAUUUCCCAAGUGAACAAGAGGCUUAUUUUGUUAUUAAGAGUCACAUGUCCCAUCUCUCUCAUUUGGUGAGUGUUUCAGGUAGCUGAGCAGGGUGAAGGAAGGAGCUGGAACUUGUUGAUCAGGGUGGAAAAGCAUUUUAUGACCAAGCUAUUAUUUGGUCCUCAUCACGACCCCAUGAGAAGAUGACAUCAAUAUUAUUGCCCCCAUCUGACAGAGGAGGAAGCUUCUAGCAGACAGAGGUUAAUCAGCUUGUCCAAGUGUAUAGAGCUAGAUCAUUGACAAGAAUCAGAAGGCCAUAAGAUGAUUCUUAGCCAUCUCUCCCCUCCCUACAACCCAUCUUGGAAGAGCUUCUCUCCUGCUUUUCAGCUUAAUCUCAACAUCCUAAGUAUGGAAGCUUGUCAACAUCAUUCCUCAGACUUAGCCCCUGGACCUGAAGCCAGUAUCCAGCUAUGGUCUGGGUCAAACAGCAAGCCUCCCUCCUUCUGGACCCAGUGGUUCUCCUAAGGGGACUUCAAGGAGCCUCGAAUCUCAUCAGCAUCCAUGUGGGUAAUCCCCUCAGCGGGGAAGAUCACAACCCAGUCACGCCUUCUCAGUCCUGCAUGUAAUUUCAGUCUGCGGCUUUCUUUCAAUCUGCCAAAUGCACUGGUUCUGUAAAUAUUUCAUGGAUAGUGGUGCAGCCCCCAGGCUGUUCAUCUGUUAUCCCUCACUUACCCUGCAUGACCAGUCCUGCCUUCCUUUCUGGUCUAAUGUGUCUCUCACGACACCUUCCACCAUUUGACCCAGCCAAUAAAAAUCUA